AUGGGGGCCAUGUGGUAGUGCAGCGAUAAAACACAAUGCCCUGCUAAAGCUCACCCACAAUAGAGUUCCAGGGUUGCUCUGGAGACCUCCCUAACUACGCUGGACACACGCAUGCCCCAGAUCUUGGGCCAGCUGACACUGGAGGAGAGCUUGCGUUGAUGUCAACAAAGCAAGAUUUGUGCUUCGGGCAAUUGGAGUAGAAUCAGUUUCUGGAGAGCCAAGUUCUUUGACUUCCCCUAGAAGGAAAGGAGGGAAUCUCAGCGCGAACAACUCCAGGAUGGAAACAACACUUGAAGGGCAUUGCCCACACCCAGACAAGAUGAUGGGGCCCUCCCCGAGGCCAAGUGGUCUGGAGCUGCUGGUCCCUGCUCUGCUCUCCAGCUUCCUGGCCAUUCCCCAGACCAACUCAAAGUUCCCCAAAUUAUUUCACUUUUUCUUUUGUAAGCCAAUUUACUUCUGUUGUUUGUAACCAAAGAUAUUUAACCGAAGACAUACAGCAACACAGCAUAUAGAACUUACUUUAGUCCUUGCUAGUACCUGUCAUUCCUUUUUAUUGAUGU